CGAGUCGCGCGAGAAUGUAGCAAUACAGGAAAGCGGCGGAAGGGAGAGGACAACAUAGGAAUCUGCCCUGGGGUCGAGGAUAGCGUCGGGAAACUGACGGUAAUACUCGAUGAUAUCUUUGGAUCAAAGGAGCAAUCUGCCCCGGGAUGAGCCUAUGCCCCAUUAGCUAGUUGGCGGUGUAAUGGACCACCAAGGCUGUGAUGGGUAGCUGGUGUGAGAGCACGACCAGCCUCACUGGCACUGAGACACUGGCCAGACACCUACGGGUGGCUGCAGUCGAGAAUCUUCGGCAAUGGACGAAAGUCUGACCGAGCGACGCCGCGUGUGGGAUGAAGGUCUUCGGAUUGUAAACCACUGUCGAGGGGGAUUAAGGGCAACUUGAAAGAACCCUGGAGGAAGGGGAGGCUAAGCUCGUGCCAGCAGCCGCGGUAAGACGAGCUCCCCAAACGUUAUUCGGUAUCACUGGGCUUAAAGAGUUCGUAGGCGGCGAAGUAGGUGAGGUGUGAAAGCCCUCGGCUCAACCGAGGAACUGCGCUUCAAACCGCUUUGCUAGAGGGAGAUAGGGGUAAGCGGAACAGAUGGUGGAGCGGUGAAAUGUGUUGAUAUCAUCUGGAACACCGGUGGCGAAAGCGGCUUACUGGGUCCUUUCUGACGCUGAGGAACGAAAGCUAAGGUAGCGAACGGGAUUAGAUACCCCGGUAGUCCUAGCCGUAAACGAUGAGCACUAGUCUGAGGGACUUUCACGGUUUCUCGGACGUAGCGAAAGUGUUAAGUGCUCCGCCUGGGGAGUAUGGUCGCAAGGCUGAAACUCAAAGGAAUUGACGG
rnacentral:rRNA from 1 species